rnacentral:rRNA from 1 species
GACGAACGCUGGCGGCGUGCUUAACACAUGCAAGUCGAACGGAAAGGCCCUGCUUUUGUGGGGUGCUCGAGUGGCGAACGGGUGAGUAACACGUGAGUAACCUGCCCUUGACUUUGGGAUAACUUCAGGAAACUGGGGCUAAUACCGGAUAGGAGCUCCUGCUGCAUGGUGGGGGUUGGAAAGUUUUGGCGGUUGGGGAUGGACUCGCGGCUUAUCAGCUUGUUGGUGGGGUAGUGGCUUACCAAGGCUUUGACGGGUAGCCGGCCUGAGAGGGUGUCCGGCCACACUGGGACUGAGAUACGGCCCAGACUCCUACGGGAGGCAGCAGUGGGGAAUAUUGCACAAUGGGCGGAAGCCUGAUGCAGCAACGCCGCGUGCGGGAUGACGGCCUUCGGGUUGUAAACCGCUUUCGCCUGUGACGAAGCGUGAGUGACGGUAAUGGGUAAAGAAGCACCGGCUAACUACGUG